rnacentral:rRNA from 1 species
GACGAACGCUGGCGGCGUGCUUAACACAUGCAAGUCGAACGAUUACUACCGAGCUUGCUCUGUCUGAUUAGUGGCGAACGGGUGAGUAACACGUGAGCAACCUUCCCUUCACUCUGUGAUAACCGCGGGAGAUCGGUGCUACUACCUGCUAUGAGCUCCUGUCUCCUGGCGGGUGUUGGAAAGUUCUUCGGUGAAGGAUGGUCUGGCGGCCUAUCUGUUUGUUGGUGGGGUAGUGGCUCACCAAGGCGAUGACGGGUCGCCGGCCUGAGAGGGCGACCGGCCACCCUGGGACUGAGAGACGGCCCAGACUCCAACGGGAGGCAGCAGUGGGGAAUCUUGCACAAUGGGAGAAAGCCUGAUGCAGAGACGCCGCGUGAGGGAUGACGGCCUUCGGGUUGUAAACCUCUGUCAGCAGGGACGAAGCGAAAGUGACGGUACCUGCAGAAGAAGCGCCGGCUAACUACGUG